AUACCAGUUUGAUACCCUAAAUUUUAACAACGCCUUGGGAGUUAAUGGGGAACACAGAAAGAUUUUGGGAGAACCCACGUGCUUCCGGAAAGAGAGGAUAAACAGAGGUUACGUGUAAUAAUGGAGAAAUCAAGAGGCAGGCAGGGAAAGGCAAAUAUUUACAGUUCUCCAUUGGUGCCACAGCUUUAGGGGCUGGCCCCCACAGGCUGAUGCAGCACCGCGCUGAUUUCUCCAGCCCAUUGCUAACUGCAGUUCUACGGCUGGUAUUAAUUGCUGGUUGUUGUGGUAAUACACGGAAAUUGCCUCAUCAGUUUCAUUAGUACCAAGGGUAGAAAUGGUUGGCCAGGUACCUGUAUUUGCUCCAGGAUCAAAUAAGAAAGCAAACUCUCAUCCAUUUAGCCUUUAAUUUUAAUGGUUAUUUAUAAUUAAGACAAAUGUUAACAGAGGAGGUAGAUAGAAACCUGUACCUACCGCAUUCAGGCCUUUGGGAAUCCUGGGUCCCAGAGACCAGGAGGAAAGGCCGGAGCAAAGAUGUACUCUUGGUGGAAGAGGACAGGGUCAGGGAAUACUGAAGUAAACUGGAAGUAACGAAAAACUGAACGUUUUUGACUGAAAGUUAAGGAAGUCCACGGGCCCUGAAGGGAUGCACCGUCUUUGACCAUUCGUGGUGACUGUGAGAAGUGCCUGAAGACCGUCACUCCUGUCUUCAAGGAGGACGACCCGGGGAACUACAGGCCGGUUGGACUACAGGCCCAGUGUAGGGCCACCAAGUGAUGAAGGGGCUGGGGCACCUCUUCCAUGAGGGGAGUCUGAGCGAGCUGGGGCUGUUCAGCCUGGAGAAGAGGGGGCACGGGGGGGGGAUUCAUUAGUCUGUAUAAAUCCCUGAAGGCAGGGUGCAAAGAGGACAGAGCCAGGCACUUUUCAGCAGCGCUCAGUGCCAGGACAAGAGGCAGUGGGCACAAGCUGGAACACGGGAGGUCCCAUCUAAACACCAGGAGCACUUCUGCGCUGUGCGGGCGUUGGAGCCCCGGCACAGGCCUCCCCCGGCCCCACCACCGCAGCGGGGACGGGGCAGACCCCGGGACGAGCCCCACCGAGCCCCGGCGGCCGCCGGGUGCCGCUGGCUCCCCGUGCCACCGCCCCGCCCCGGCGGCGGAGCGCAGGCGCCUUCCCCGGGCACGCCGCGGCCCGGCCCCGCUGCGGGACGCGGAAGCGGGCGGGCGGCGCUCGGCGGCCCGGCCCCGGAGCUCUGCCCCUCGCCCAGCUGCAGGGCCAAGCCCGGGAGGAGUGCCAUUUGUCCCCCAGCCGGGCCCAGCCGGGGCUGGGGGAACCCCGUCCCCCGUGCUGGCGGCGGGCGGAGGUGUGUCAGAGGUGAUGAUCUGCUCCCG
rnacentral:lncRNA from 1 species